UUGACCUCGGAUCAGGUAGGGAUACCCGCUGAACUUAAGCAUAUCAAUAAGGCGGAGGAAA
rnacentral:rRNA from 1 species